ensembl:lncRNA
CUGGGGCCGGGGUGGGGACUCGCCUGAUCCCGCCCGCUGCCACCUCCCUUCCCCUCCCACCGCCCGCUGCGCGGAGCCCGGCAGAGCCCGGCGGGGCAGGCGGCGGAGCCGGGCAGCUCCAGGAAUUGGAAAAAAUCGGAAAGAGCCCCCAGCGAAGCUGAUGUUGGACACAGUGCCUGCCUCUGUGCUGGGACAGCUGCCAGACACCGCUGCCACCGCUCCUGGGCUGCGCUCUGCGAGCAUCCCUCCUUCGUGCCAGCUGGGCAUGCUGAGCCCCGCUUACUCCCAGCUUUCUUUACUCUAGAUGGAAUCAGGUCAUUUUCAGUGUUACAGAUAGAGCCUGAGACCUUGAACUUCAUGCACUGCUCUGCAAGGAGCUAA